GACGAACGCUGGCGGCGUGCUUAACACAUGCAAGUCGAACGGUGAAGCCCUUCGGGGUGGAUCAGUGGCGAACGGGUGAGUAACACGUGAGCAACCUGCCCCUGGCUCUGGGACAACCACUGGAAACGGUGGCUAAUACCGGAUACGACCCGCCUCGGCAUCGAGUGUGGGUGGAAAGUUUUUCGGCUGGGGAUGGGCUCGCGGCCUAUCAGCUUGUUGGUGAGGUGAAGGCUCACCAAGGCGACGACGGGUAGCCGGCCUGAGAGGGCGACCGGCCACACUGGGACUGAGACACGGCCCAGACGCCUACGGGAGGCAGCAGUGGGGAAUAUUGCACAAUGGGCGAAAGCCUGAUGCAGCGACGCCGCGUGAGGGAUGACGGCCUUCGGGUUGUAAACCUCUUUCAGCUCCGAAGAAGCGAAAGUGACGGUAGGAGCAGAAGAAGCACCGGCUAACUACGU
rnacentral:rRNA from 1 species